CCAGCCCCCACCAAAGAGCUGGAGGGUUCGCCUCCCAGCACAGGGCCAGCUCUUUCUGUUCAAAGUGACCAGCUCGGUGUCGGGGAGUGCAGCAGCUCUGCCACCCUGUCUCACCUUGCCCAGAGGGUCUGACUGACCGUACUGCAGUUCUGGUCUUGAGAGAAGCCAAUCCCUUGGGAAUCCUAGCAGUUUAAAGCACUUCCAGAUCCAGGCGUGGCGGUGCACGCCUGGUGGCGGUGCACACCUUUAGUCUGGGCCAUACCUUCUGCUAAAAGCCUACUUAAGGACAAUGGAGGAAAGAAGACUUCCUUCUUUAUCCGCUUGCACUUACUUGCCAGCACGUCUGUCUGUCCGGAGCCUACUUCUUCAGGAUUCCAAAACACCUAGCCUCAGACUGAGCAACACAACUGCCCACCGUUGAGUUAUUUGGACUACAGACUGUAAGCCGUUCCAAUAAGAAGCUAACUGUCCGGCAUGAUGGAUUCCUGAGUUUCCAAAACGGCUGGGCUGAAAGGGAUCUCGAAAAAAUAACCGCUGCCACAUGCCCCGUGCCAGAACUGGUUACUUUCUUGAACACUUUUAACCCUAAUUCUGCCUGGAGGUGACAUCAAUUCUCCGCCACCGGAGAAUGAAAGCUUGGGACUACAUUUCCCUGCAAGCCCUUUAGAAAAGGAGGCCAAGAGCAAAGAGACUUUCCGUUUCCGUCCGCUUGCAAUUUGGCGUGUUCGCAGUGAUACAUAUUUCAACAGUAGCGUCCUUUCUCUGUACAACUAAAGCAGAGACUACAUACCCCAGCAGGUACUGGCACCAAGGGCAAGCGACUAGGUUGCCAUCUCUGCAGUAGUCCUUUGCUACACAUCCGCCGAGAAUAGUCUUAGCGGGUGGACUACAAAUCCCAUAGCAUCGUCUGCUCCUUCACCCUCCAUCUUUGUGGUAGUCUCCGCCCCGCUGACUUCCAUUGUCUCGACAGAAGAUAAAAGAGAGGAACUGGGAAGACUACAAUUCCCAGCUGGCUUUGCACCAUCGAGUGCGGGAUUUUGAUAGUUCAGGCGGGCGAGGAGCUCCAAGUGGUAGAAUGAAGCGAGCAGGAAAGGUUAGGUAUCCUGCCAUCUUUUCGGUAGUCUCUUUAUCCUCCGGGUUCUGGCAUUCUUAAAGGAACAUAGGAAGGGUAGAAAACUACUAUUCCCAUCCCACUUCAUAAGAUCGACUUAUUAGGUGUACGCCCCUCGUUCGCCAUCUUGCUUGUAGUCCUCGUUUCUUUUCACCUUUCCAUUGUUCCUGAUGAGUAGAAAUGGCAGCGGGAAGGCAGCAGAUGGACUGCGACUCCCGUCAGGUACCACACACGCGGAGGGUUGUGGACCAGAGGGCGUGUGAGUGCCUGGAAAGGAGGUCGGGUCGGGGGAAAAGGCCAUCUUGCUUGUAGUCAUCCUUCCCGCUCCUUCUCGGUCCUGCUACGGGGAGUCUCUGGCCAACUGGACUAUAAUUCCCGCCAUGCUCGGCUCCCAGCGUGGCAACCCUUUCGCCAUCUUAUUUGUAGUACCGGCUGGCCCUAGUGUGCCACUUUUCCCACCAUAGCGCUAGAAUUUGGAGAACUACAACUCCCGUCGUGCUUUGCACGCAUUCGUCCUGGAAAGUAAAGGUGGUGAAGGAAGGAGGGAGAAGGGGGCGGGGUUCCUCUGGGAGAAGG
ensembl:lncRNA